rnacentral:lncRNA from 1 species
CAGUCUGCUCCCAUGUACCAGUACCUGGAUAGGAAACUGUUCAAGGAAGCCUACCAGAUUGCUUGCUUGGGUGUCACAGACACUGAUUGGCGUGCACUGGCCAUGGAAGCGCUAGGUUUAGAUUUUGAAACAGCAAAGAGAAGGCAGCUGAUUUUAUUAUUCCCCACAGGCUUUCAUCAGAGUACAAGACCUCAUCAGCAGCAUUGAGGUAAAAGUUGAAGCAUUCUUACUUGUCAAGAAAGUGGACUUGGGGUUCGGGGUUCAGGGGCAGCCCUUGUGGCAGGUGUAUUAGUUCAUUUUCACGCUGCUGGAAAAGAUGUACGUGAGACUGGGCAAUUUACAAAAGAAAGAGGUCUAAUUAGACUUGCAGUUCCACAUGGCUAAGGAAGCCUCAUGAUCAUGGCAGAAGGCAAGGAAGAGCAAGU